rnacentral:rRNA from 1 species
ACUCCUGCGGGAGGCAGCAGUGGGGAAUAUUGGACAAUGGGCGCAAGCCUGAUCCAGCCAUGCCGCGUGAGUGAUGAAGGCCCUAGGGUUGUAAAGCUCUUUCACCGGUGAAGAUAAUGACGGUAACCGGAGAAGAAGCCCCGGCUAACUUCGUGCCAGCAGCCGCGGUAAUACGAAGGGGGCUAGCGUUGUUCGGAUUUACUGGGCGUAAAGCGCACGUAGGCAGACUAUUAAGUCAGGGGUGAAAUCCCGGGGCUCAACCCCGGAACUGCCUUUGAUACUGGUAGUCUUGAGUUCGAAAGAGGUGAGUGGAAUUCCGAGUGUAGAGGUGAAAUUCGUAGAUAUUCGGAGGAACACCAGUGGCGAAGGCGGCUCACUGGCUCGAUACUGACGCUGAGGUGCGAAAGCGUGGGGAGCAAACAGGAUUAGAAACCCCGGUAGUCC